rnacentral:rRNA from 1 species
CCCGGACCUUGUACACACCGCCCGUCACACCAUGGGAGUUGGUUUUACCUUAAGACGGUGUGCCAACCGCAAGGAGGCAGCCGGCCACGGUAAGGUCAGCGACUGGGGUG